UUUUCAUUUCUUUCUCUUCAUAUAUGGCCAAAGGAAGUGGACUCUCCUUUGAUCCAGAUCCCAUCAAACCUAUUCCUACUAUCCUCAAUUCUUUUCUUGAACCCCAUAACAACCACUUUUAUCCUCGUAACAAAAUUUUUUUCAAUUUUUCAUCUAUGGAAUCAUCAUACAACAACAGGUCACCACCUCCUACUAUUCAAUUCCCAGUAAACCUUAACUGCUCUACUACUCAUCAUGAUCAAGACGAACAGCACAUCAGACCAGUUAUUGAUGAAAUGGACUUCUUUGCUGAUAAAAAAAAUGAUACUAAUUCUGAGGAGCCAACAACAGCUAAUGAUUCUGAUAGAAAAGAAUCAAACACUCCUCCUCCUCCUCCUGGAUUGGAUUUUAAUAUUAAUGUAAGGUUAACCGAAUUAGGAGUACAUUUCUUACCAAAUGUUGUGAAUUUUGACAUAAUUGUAUUCGUUUUGUAGACUGCUUUGCAUCUUCUUACAGCAAACACUUAUAGUGAUCAGUCCUUAGUGGAUGAUGGCUUAUCCCCUAAUUCUGAUGAUAAAAGAAUCAAGAGUGAGGUAAGACUAAUUUAAUAUCACUCACUAUACUGGAGUUGAUUGAUUUCUCACUCAACUAAUCAGAAAGUUACUCUCUUUUUUUGUUGUUGUUGAAAGAAAUUGAAAUGAAGAAAAAGGGUGACUUUCUGAUAAAGUAACCAUAUGAGAAAUCAAUUGGUAUAUUCUGUAAUUUAGCUUUGUUAACAUGAAUUUUGGACAUCCUCUGUUUCAGUUAGUAGUUCUUCAGGCUGAAUUGGAAAGAAUGAAUGGCGAAAAUCGACGUUUAAGGGAUAUGUUAAAUCAGGUGAAAAACAAUUACAAUACCCUGCAGAUGCAUAUGAUGACAGUGAUGCAACAAAAUCAAGAAAGUGGUCAACGUGAUGGGAAAAGUGAAGAAGUGAAACAUCAAAAUGGUCAUGGAGGAGGAGGAGGACAAGUAGUGCCUAGGCAAUUUAUGGAUCUUGGCUUAGCUGCUUCUGAGGCUGAAGAGACUUCCCAGUCAUCGUCCGAGGGACGCAGUGGCAGGGAAAAAUCGCGAUCACCAGCGAAUAACAUUGAAGCAGGUUCGACAUGUGGAAUUAUAAGAGAAGAUAGUCCUGAAAAAGAGUCACCUGGUUGGGGUUCUAAUAAAAUUCCAAGACUUGGCAAUAGCUCUACUAAUAAACCUGCUGAUCAAGCUACUGAGGCUACCAUGAGAAAGGCUCGGGUCUCGGUCAGGGCUCGAUCAGAAGCUCCCAUGGUAUGUAACUUUGAUUUAAUGUAUAUAUAUAUAUUGAUUUUGGUUUUAAAAGAUUAUUUGAUAAAACCUUUUUUUGUGAUGCAAUCAGAUCACAGAUGGUUGCCAAUGGCGAAAGUAUGGGCAGAAAAUGGCGAAGGGAAACCCAUGUCCUCGGGCUUAUUACCGGUGCACCAUGGCAGCUGGUUGUCCAGUUCGGAAGCAAGUAUGUUUCUGUUUUUCUGUACUUGGUCAAUCAUGAAUCUUAGUAAAUUUAGACUCUAAUUAACAAUAAUGUGUUAGUUGUACACUGAUUGUCAAUACUAGUUGGUGUUGUGUUGCUAUUGCUCUUUCUUGAUCAAAUACAGAAUUUUUUUUUUUCCAACAAUAAUCAACAGAGAAUCUUGUUAGGAAAUAUCUUGAGGAAUUCACUUCUGAAUUUAUAUAUUAUAGUAGUAAUUAAAAGCAAUGAAAGUUUUUAUAGUGUCUAUAACUUUAACCAGAAGUCUCAGAGUCGAGCUUCAAAUAAAGAAUUGUACACUAAAGAGUGUUUUACCUCCUUUAGUGGGUUACUCAAAGCGAGUCUAGAUUAGCCGGAUUAAUGGGCAAUGAAUAUUGAAUGAAAGGGGGAAAAAAGGAAGUCUUUUGACUGAAGUGAAUUUUGCUGCAUUGAUAGGUUCAAAGAUGUGCAGAGGACAGAACGAUCUUGAUCACAACUUAUGAAGGUACUCACAACCAUCCGUUGCCACCGGCAGCUAUGGGGAUGGCCUCAACAACUUCCUCUGCAGCAAGAAUGUUACUUUCAGGUUCUAUGCCAAGUGCAGAUGGGCUAAUGAAUCCCAAUUUCUUCGCGAGAACUCUCCUCCCUUGCUCUUCCAGCAUGGCCACAAUUUCAGCCUCCGCCCCGUUUCCUACUGUUACAUUGGACCUAACUCAAUCCCCAAACCCGUUGCAAUUCCCAAGACCCCCAAACCCAUUCCAAGUCCCAUUUUCAAAUCCAACUCACAACAACAUCCUAGCAAAUCCAGCUGCACUUUUGCCUCAGAUAUUUGGCCAGGCUUUGUAUAACCAAUCCAAAUUCUCUGGCCUCCAAUCGUCUCAAGAUUUGGAAGGACAACAGCA
rnacentral:lncRNA from 1 species